rnacentral:rRNA from 1 species
GACGAACGCUGGCGGCGUGCUUAACACAUGCAAGUCGAACGGAAAGGCCCUGCUUUUGUGGGGUGCUCGAGUGGCGAACGGGUGAGUAACACGUGAGUAACCUGCCCUUGACUUUGGGAUAACUUCAGGAAACUGGGGCUAAUACCGGAUAGGAGCUCCUGCUGCAUGGUGGGGGUUGGAAAGUUUCGGCGGUUGGGGAUGGACUCGCGGCUUAUCAGCUUGUUGGUGGGGUAGUGGCUUACCAAGGCUUUGACGGGUAGCCGGCCUGAGAGGGUGACCGGCCACAUUGGGACUGAGAUACGGCCCAGACUCCUACGGGAGGCAGCAGUGGGGAAUAUUGCACAAUGGGCGGAAGCCUGAUGCAGCAACGCCGCGUGCGGGAUGACGGCCUUCGGGUUGUAAACCGCUUUCGCCUGUGACGAAGCGUGAGUGACGGUAAUGGGUAAAGAAGCACCGGCUAACUACGUGCCAGCAGCCGCGGUGAUACGUAGGGUGCGAGCGUUGUCCGGAUUUAUUGGGCGUAAAGGGCUCGUAGGUGGUUGAUCGCGUCGGAAGUGUAAUCUUGGGGCUUAACCCUGAGCGUGCUUUCGAUACGGGUUGACUUGAGGAAGGUAGGGGAGAAUGAAAUUCCUGGUGGAGCGGUGGAAUGCGCAGAUAUCAGGAGGAACACCAGUGGCGAAGGCGGUUCUCUGGGCCUUUCCUGACGCUGAGGAGCGAAAGCGUGGGGAGCGAACAGGCUUAGAUACCCUGGUAGUCCACGCUGUAAACGGUGGGUACUAGGUGUGGGGUCCAUUCCACGGGUUCCGUGCCGUAGCUAACGCUUUAAGUACCCCGCCUGGGGAGUACGGCCGCAAGGCUAAAACUCAAAGGAAUUGACGGGGCCCCGCACAAGCGGCGGAGCAUGCGGAUUAAUUCGAUGCAACGCGUAGAACCUUACCUGGGUUUGACAUGGAUCGGGAGUGCUCAGAGAUGGGUGUGCCUCUUUUGGGGUCGGUUCACAGGUGGUGCAUGGCUGUCGUCAGCUCGUGUCGUGAGAUGUUGGGUUAAGUCCCGCAACGAGCGCAACCCUUGUUCACUGUUGCCAGCACGUUAUGGUGGGGACUCAGUGGAGACCGCCGGGGUCAACUCGGAGGAAGGUGGGGAUGACGUCAAGUCGUCAUGCCCCUUAUGUCCAGGGCUUCACGCAUGCUACAAUGGCUGGUACAGGGAGUGGCGAGCCUGUGAGGGUGAGCGAAUCUCGGAAAGCCGGUCUCAGUUCGGAUUGGGGUCUGCAACUCGACCUCAUGAAGUCGGAGUCGCUAGUAAUCGCAGAUCAGCAACGCUGCGGUGAAUACGUUCCCGGG